UCCGCAUGUUCACAUGAUUAAAGGUAUUCCGGUAGACGAUGGGGAUGCGUUCCAUUAGAUAGUAGGCGGGGUAACGGCCCACCUAGUCUUCGAUGGAUAGGGGUUCUGAGAGGAAGGUCCCCCACAUUGGAACUGAGACACGGUCCAAACUCCUACGGGAGGCAGCAGUGAGGAAUAUUGGUCAAUGGGCGAGAGCCUGAACCAGCCAAGUAGCGUGAAGGAUGACUGCCCUAUGGGUUGUAAACUUCUUUUAUAAAGGAAUAAAGUCGGGUAUGCAUACCCGUUUGCAUGUACUUUAUGAAUAAGGAUCGGCUAACUCCGUGCCAGCAGCCGCGGUAAUACGGAGGAUCCGAGCGUUAUCCGGAUUUAUUGGGUUUAAAGGGGGCGUAGAUGGAUGUUUAAGUCAGUUGUGAAAGUUUGCGGCUCAACCGUAAAAUUGCAGUUGAUACUGGAUAUCUUGAGUGCAGUUGAGGCAGGCGGAAUUCGUGGUGUAGCGGUGAAAUGCUUAGAUAUCACGAAGAACUCCGAUUGCGAAGGCAGCCUGCUAAGCUGCAACUGACAUUGAGGCUCGAAAGUGUGGGUAUCAAACAGGAUUAGAUACCCUGGUAGUCCACACGGUA
rnacentral:rRNA from 1 species